rnacentral:rRNA from 1 species
AUGAACGCUGGCGGCGUGCCUAAUACAUGCAAGUCGAGCGAACAGAUGAGGAGCUUGCUCCUCUGACGUUAGCGGCGGACGGGUGAGUAACACGUGGAUAACCUACCUAUAAGACUGGGAUAACUUCGGGAAACCGGAGCUAAUACCGGAUAAUAUAUUGAACCGCAUGGUUCAAUAGUGAAGGACGGUUUUGCUGUCACUUAUAGAUGGAUCCGCGCCGCAUUAGCUAGUUGGUAAGGUAACGGCUUACCAAGGCAACGAUGCGUAGCCGACCUGAGAGGGUGAUCGGCCACACUGGAACUGAGACACGGUCCAGACUCCUACGGGAGGCAGCAGUAGGGAAUCUUCCGCAAUGGGCGAAAGCCUGACGGAGCAACGCCGCGUGAGUGAUGAAGGUCUUCGGAUCGUAAAACUCUGUUAUUAGGGAAGAACAAAUGUGUAAGUAACUAUGCACGUCUUGACGGUACCUAAUCAGAAAGCCACGGCUAACUACGUG